rnacentral:rRNA from 1 species
GAUGAACGCUGGCGGCGUGCCUAAUACAUGCAAGUCGAGCGAACAGACGAGGAGCUUGCUCCUCUGACGUUAGCGGCGGACGGGUGAGUAACACGUGGAUAACCCACCUAUAAGACUGGGAUAACUUCGGGAAACCGGAGCUAAUACCGGAUAAUAUAUUGAACCGCAUGGUUCAAUAGUGAAAGACGGUUUUGCUGUCACUUAUAGAUGGAUCCGCGCCGCAUUAGCUAGUUGGUAAGGUAACGGCUUACCAAGGCAACGAUGCGUAGCCGACCUGAGAGGGUGAUAGGCCACACUGGAACUGAGACACGGUCCAGACUCCUACGGGAGGCAGCAGUAGGGAAUGUGACGCAAUGGGCGAGAGCCUGACGGAGCAACGGCGCGUGAGUGAUGAAGGUCUUCGGAGCGUAAAACUCUGUUAUUAGGGAAAAACAGAUGUGUAAGUAGCUAUGCACGUCUUGACGGUACCUAAUCAGAAAGCCACGGCUAACUACGUG